GUGGUUUAAUUCGAUGCAACGCGAAGAACCUUACCUGGUCUUGACAUCCACGGAAGUUUUCAGAGAUGAGAAUGUGCCUUCGGGAACCGUGAGACAGGUGCUGCAUGGCUGUCGUCAGCUCGUGUUGUGAAAUGUUGGGUUAAGUCCCGCAACGAGCGCAACCCUUAUCCUUUGUUGCCAGCGGUCCGGCCGGGAACUCAAAGGAGACUGCCAGUGAUAAACCGGAGGAAGGUGGGGAUGACGUCAAGUCCUCAUGGCCUUUAUGCCCAGGGCUACACACGUGCUACAAUGGGUGGUACAAAGAGCAGCCAGCUCGCGAGAGUGAGCAAAUCUCAAAAAGCCAUCCUCAGUUCGGAUUGGAGUCUGCAACUCGACUUCAUGAAGUUGGAAUCGCUAGUAAUCGCGGAUCAGCAUGCCGCGGUGAAUACGUUCCCGGGCCUU
rnacentral:rRNA from 1 species